rnacentral:RNase_P_RNA from 1 species
UGAGCUGGCUGGAUGGCCGCGGCCUGCAAACAGGCUGAGGAACGUCCGGACUCCACAGGGCACGAUGGUGGCUAACGGCCACUCGGGGCGACUCGAGGCUAGUGCAACAGAAAGUAAACCGCCCGGCCCAAAAUGGUGGGUUGGGUAAGGGUGAAACGGUGAUGUAAGAGAUCACCAGCACCUCAGGUGACUGAGGUGGCUAGGUAAACCCCAUUGGGAGCAAAACCAAGCAGCGCGCGCAGCGGCCCGCUGGACGCGCGCGGGUAGGUUGCUAGAGGCUGUCAGCAAUGGCAGUUCGAGAUAGAUGGCCAUCGCCGACCCGGUUCUAAGCGCCUCGUCGCGAGGAAUCGUGGCCGGUACAGAAUCCGGCUUAUAAGCCAGCUCACCUU